rnacentral:rRNA from 1 species
GGAAUAUUGGACAAUGGGCGCAAGCCUGACCCAGCCAUGCCGCGUGUGUGAAGAAGGCCUUCGGGUUGUAAAGCACUUUCAGUGGUGAAGAAAAGCUUGGGGCUAAUACCCUCGGGUCUUGACGUUAACCACAGAAUAAGCACCGGCUAACUCCGUGCCAGCAGCCGCGGUAAUACGGAGGGUGCGAACGUUAAUCGGAAUUACUGGGCGUAAAGCGCACGUAGGCGGUAUGUUAAGUUGGAUGUGAAAGCCCCGGGCUCAACCUGGGAAUUGCAUUCAAAACUGGCAUGCUAGAGUAUGUGAGAGGGGGGUAGAAUUCCAAGUGUAGCGGUGAAAUGCGUAGAGAUUUGGAGGAAUACCAGUGGCGAAGGCGGCCCCCUGGCACAAUACUGACGCUCAGGUGCGAAAGCGUGGGGAGCAAAC